AAGUCGUAACAAGGUUUCCGUAGGUGAACCUGCGGAAGGAUCAUUAUUGAAUUCAACGUGAAGUUGUUGCUGGCCUUUCAAAGGGCAUGUGCACGCUUUACAAUUCAUUUAAACACCUGUGAACUUUUUGAAGUAGACUUGGGUUGAACGCCUUUAGAUUCGGGUCUACUUUUAUUAUACACCCCAUAAAAUGUCUAAAGAAUGUAAUCGGCGACUAUAUGCGCCUUAAAUUGUUAAUACAACUUUCAACAACGGAUCUCUUGGCUCUC
rnacentral:misc_RNA from 1 species